AAAUUUUCUCGAUCUUCUGGAGGCUUCUCUCAACUACUCCCUUUCUCUCUCUUAUUUCACUCACUAUAUCCUCCAUGUUCUUCAGCUUAAUCUUCACGUUUUCAUGGUAUCAGAGCCACAUGAUCUUCGGAUCCUUCUCGGUUGCGUGUUAUCGAUCCUGUUCGAAGCUUUUGCUGAAGCUUUUCUCAUGGUUAUCGGUGAGAGAUACUGUUUGGAGACG
rnacentral:lncRNA from 1 species